rnacentral:SRP_RNA from 1 species
GUCCGGUCCUCCCGCAACGUCAGGUUGUGAACCCCGCCAGGCCCGGAAGGGAGCAACGGUAGCAGCCAAAGCGUGUGCCGGGAUGAGGCUGGACCGG